AAGAUGAUACUUGGGAAGCCUGGCUAAAUGCUGAUGCAUCUGGUUUGUCUAGUGCUAUGGGAUUUGGGGGGAAUGGCGUUAAGUUAAGGCGUGGAUAUGCUCCUCCUCAGUCAUCGAAACCAACACAGGCACUCAUUUACACACUAUCAAGUUCACUACUGUUGGUUCUCUUUGUGCUGAUACCAAGUUUACCUAUGUUCUCAUUCUUCUCUUUUUUAAGUGGCCACAGUGGGGGAGGAGUAGCGUGAAAGACUUAAAUUGUACUACUGUUGGUUCUCUUUGUUCUGAUAUCAAGUUUACCGAUGUUGGUUUCCUUUGUUACUGAUGAUCUUAUGGUGUUCAGUCUCACUGCAUCUUCUCUUUUUUAAGUGGCCACGGUGGGGGAGGAGUAGCAUGUGAUAAGAAUGGACCUUGGGCCUAACUCAACCCCAAAAGCUAGCUUAUGAGGUGAGGAUUGCCCAAGCCAUAUAAGGAGACCAAGAACCUCAAAUCCCUCCGAUGUGGGACAACUCAACAGCAUGAAAGACUUAAAUUGUUUGAUAAAAAUGCUAUAAAAGGAAGAGAGAAAAUGUCUUUGCUUUCCCCUCCAGUUAAAACUGGAAAAUAAAAAAGAAAGUAAAAAAUAAAAAAGUUCAAGUGAAAUAUCUAGUAUUUGGGAAAAUUUGGGUUGGGACUGCAUGCAUGUAGACUUGAUCACUUGGUUCAUAAAAUGUUAUAUUCCAACUAUGCUGGAAAAUUCAAAUAAGUGUCGUGAAGCUUGUACCAGCUUUCUGAUUGCAAAAAGCUGCGGGCUUGGAAAUUGCAGAAGCUAAGUUAGUAGGAGGAGGUAAGUCAUGCUAAUAUCCUCCUUUGUGGGUCUUCUUGUUUUAUCUGUCGAUUGUGAGAAAAUGAUAAAAGAGAGCUUGUAUUGAAUUAAUUAUGUAAGCCAUACAGAAGGGCUCCUUGCAUAGGAGUUUACACUUUAGGACUAAGAAAAGUUUAUAAUGUUGUAUAUUAUAACAGAGAAAUUAAUUAAAUAAGGCAUACUUAAUUUGAGCUUUCUACUUAUGAUAGGAGUAAGAAAAUUUAUAAUAUUGUAAUUAAAGAGAAGGUAAUUAAAUAAAGAAUAUUUGAAUACUGAGAGUUCUCCUUAUGAUAGGGUUGACAAGAAUGUUAGAUAUUAUUAACCUGAACACAUGAAACAUCUAGAAAAUUUUAACAUAUACAUCACCAUUUCGUUUUAUCUGACCCUUGUUUGAUUGGGUAUGGAGUUUAAGAAAGAAAAGAACUUAAACAUGCCAUAACAUUUGUGUUGCUAUAAGACUGUUGAACCUUACAACAACAACAACAACAACAACUACCCAGUAUACUCCCACCAGGUGGGGUCUGGGGANNNNNNNNNNNNNNNNNNNNNNNNNNNNNNNNNNNNNNNNNNNNNNNNACCAGGUGGGGUCUGGGGAGGGUAAUAUGUAGACGAGCCUUACCCCUGUCCGAAAGGGCAGAGAGGCUGCUUCCAAUCGACCCUCGGCGAGUAGAAAAACUGUUGAAGACUGGUGAACCUUGUGGUUUUAAAUAUAACAUUACAUUUGUUUGGCUAUAAUGCUUGUCAUUAAUGGUAAAAGGGGAAGUGUAGUUAAAUUGUUUCUAAAUGUAGAGGGGUCAUUCUUUUUGGAAGAGAGUAAUAAACUGAAGAGGAAAUAGUGUUACAUAAACUGGCUAUAAUGCUUGUCAUUAAGGGUAAAAGGGCAAGUGUAAGUAAAUUGUUUCUAAAUGUAGAGUGGUCAUUCUUUUUGGAAGAGAGUAAUAAAUUGAAGAGGAAAUAGUGUUACAUAAACUGGAACAGAGGGAGUAGUUGAUUCGAUUUCUUGACUUCUAAUACUCCCUCUAAAACUUGAGAUAAUUAAACAACUUGAGUUUGCGAAUCAAAACUAAAAAGUGGAGUCGAGUAUGACAAGAGGAGCAACUGUUUGAAGAUGUGGCGCGUGUGAUUAGACAAUGAUAUGACGACUGAUUGGAUAGUUGCGUGGCCAUUGUUGAAUUGAGCGAUCAGUGCAUCUGAAAGUUUUAGCUAUUAGAGAGAAUUUUAAUUGAUUUAUUUUAUGUUUAAACUGCCCCAUCAUACGGUGCGUGAUUCUUUUUAUUGGGCCAAGCACUUGAGAAUAUUUUCUUUUGCUGUUUAUGGUUGACACUCUCUCUAAUAGCUUAAGUUCUUAGAUGAGUUGGUCACAUAAUUCAAUGUGGUACCAACAAAAUAGAGGUUCCUGAAUUCAGUUCUUAUUUGUCCCCAUUGACAAAAUAUUACGAGCUGCUUGACCCAAUAGAAAGAAUAGGGUCUGAUGUAAGUGGGUGUGUUAUAGACGUGAAAUAAGUAAUAGAAGUGUCCUUUUAAGAACAAUUAAAUGGAUAGUGACAUGGCACUGAAUGGCUGUUGCGUCUAAGGUGACACUGACUAGACGAUGGUGUGUUGUUGAAUGGCAGCACUACGCUGACUAAAACAAAUAUGGAUUAAUCAACUUGACAGGUUAACGGGUUCAGACAACUAACUUGUCUUGACAGGUUAGCUGUUGGUGUUACUUGAUAGGUUGGCUGUUGCGUCUAAGGUGACACUGACUAGACGAUGGUGUGUUGUUGAAUGGCAGCACUACGCUGACUAAAACAAAUAUGGAUUAAUCAACUUGACAGGUUAACGGGUUCAGACAACUAACUUGUCUUGACAGGUUAGCUGUUGGUGUUACUUGAUAGGUUGGCUGACAUAGAUGGAUAAAUCAACCCUAGACAUAUUUGCAAUACGCUGCCAUAAAUUUAGGACGGCGCAGUGGUUAGAGAACACCAGAACAAUGAUGGGGAUGCUAGAGUCAUCAUUGGUAAGAAGAGUAGUGUCACUCAAAUGGUCAUACAAAUUAGGUGACACUACUAAAUUUGUGGAGCGAUUGAGAGUUUUUUAGCAGGGUAGGCAGAACAGCUUAAGCCUCUCUCAAAUUGUAGAGGCCCUGAUAUAUUUUGAAGUAUAAGAGAAUAAAAGAGAGUACUUUCAUAGAGUUGAUUGUUAACAACAUACACGGGGCUUUUUAUACAGAAGUUUAGGCUAUUAAAGAUGAGGAUUUUUUUUUUCAAAUAUCGGGGUACCUAAUUAUCACAAUAGUUGUUUUGAUGGGGGAAAAAGAUCCUAUUACUACUUAUAUGAAAUACAGAUGUAUUUAAAACUGUAGUAUUUUGGUUGAAUGAAUUUUUGGUAAUUUUCAUAACAGAUACCCUGGACUUGUUGGGCUCCCUUAUUUUGUUUAAACAAGUCCAGAUUUUUGUGCUGUUUUUGGUAUCUUCUUGGUACUGUUAUUGCAGACAAAAUUACAAAUACUUCACCGUAUCAAAUAAAAGAUACAUCACAAUUCAGAUGAAUAUCCUAUAGUAUUAACCUAUAUGCAUAGACUGAUUCUAGAACCAACAUAUACUUAUAGGCUACAACAUUCUCUUGACUUCCAACUUCCAACCGAGAGGUUGGCUACAACCCCUCUCUUGACAAGAGCGGUUGCUCUGAUGGUAAGCAACCCCCACUUCCAACCGAGAGGUUGUGAGUUCGNNNNNNNNNNNNNNNNNNNNNNNNNNNNNNNNNNNNNNNNNNNNNNNNNNNNNNNNNNNNNNNNNNNNNNNNNNNNNNNNNNNCCCCCACUUCCAAUCGAGAGGUUGUGAGUUCGAGUCUCCCCAAGAGCAAGGUGGGAAGUUCUUGGAGGGAAGGAUGCCGGGGGUCUAUUUGGGAACAUCCUCUCUACCCAAGGGUAGGGGUAAGGUCUGCGUACAUACUACCAUCCCCAGACCCACUAAGUGGGAUUAUACUGGGUUGUUGUUGUUGUUGUUGUUGUUAUUCUCUUGACUUCCGUUGGCUUGUACUACUAAAUUAGUUGCUAAGAGGUUUUUAAGGAAGGAAUAAUUAUUUGCUGGUUCAAGUGAGGAGUUAGAGAAAGGUUGACAAGCUUUAAAGAAAUUAUACACAUACAUGAACAAUAAUCCGGUCAGUCGUCUGUUUAGCUUUUGGAUAGUGAGGAUUUAUGGCAUGCCACAACUAGCUUGGGAUUGAGAUUAUUGUUGUAUAUUGCUUUUGGAUCAAUUAUUCUACUAAAAAGCCUUCACUAUGACAUGCAUAUGCUAAAGUUUUAUUAUCUGGAAAAGAGAUUUGCUUUUUCCUUUUAGUAGGUAUUGUUCAUGUGUUCUUCAGUGCUAUCCUUGAUAAGAAAUUGUUUAUGAGCCUUUUGUGCUAAGUUCGUUAAGAGUGCACACUGACUUUGGUGCACAGGGGGGAUAUUUAGGAUUUAAUCUAUUUUCUCUUGUUCCUAACUGCUGAAAUUGCACUCCUCAUGCAUCUGUUUCUUUUAGGACGAAUUACGUCAACAAAAGGAGGAAGAAAUGGAUGAUUACUGCUCACAGGUAGUCCAAAUGCUUCCUGUUCACCAUAUAAGUGUAUGUGUUGUGAUUAUGUAACUCAUCAAGCAAAUGGCAUAUAAACUAAGGAAUACCUGUCUUGACCUUAGAAUAUUAACCUAUCAUGUAGGCUUGUAUUAGUUGUUCUUGAUUGAGAAAGUAGAUAUGAAAGGCAUCAAAAGUACUAAGUUAAUGUACUUGGUACUUUGAAAAUUGGUAAGAUUCUUAUGGUUUGGCAGGUUUUGCCCCUCUAAACUAAAUUGCGACCUGUCAAUUCGGUUUGCAGGAUCAAGAAAAUAACUAAUUUUAAAUGUUAACCUCACUCAGUGAACUGUAAAUACUCCGUUCUAUUAUAUUAGACUAUGCUGUGAGUGAAGUAAAUGAGUCUUCUUUCACUACUUUUCUUAAAUUAUUACGAAAUAACCACAAUGUGGCGUUUUAAACUAUAAACUUAUUCGAAAUCAUGUCAGGAAAUACAAUAACAAGUGUAUUAUGUACUUGACCAGCAUAAAUAGACGGUUAGUUUCUUUUGACUGUUGUGUGCAUAUUUUGCGACAUUCUUUUUCUAAAUAUAAAAGGAUAAUAAAAUCAGGACAUAAGGAGCUAUACUACAUAUUUUGUGGAAGGGAGCCUUGGCGUAACUGGUAAAGGUGCUGCCAUGUGACCACGAGGUCACGGGUUCGAACCGUGAAUACAACCUCUUGCAGAAAUGCAGGGUAAGGCUGCAUACGAUAGACCUUUGUGGUCCGGCCCUUCCCCGGAUCCCGCGCAUAACGGGAGCUUAGUGCACCGGGCUGCCCUACUACAUUUAUUUUGUAGGACCUCUGAAACUGAAAUUGCUUUUCUUUACCGGUUAGCACUUAGAUAACAAGUUUGGAAAUUACCUUUUUUGUUGUCCUUACUAAUCUUUAAGUUUGUGUGAACUUCUUGGAAUAUUUUACCUUGCUAGACUCUUAUGUUAGACCCACUCAUGG
rnacentral:lncRNA from 1 species